rnacentral:rRNA from 1 species
GAGGAAUAUUGGUCAAUGGCCGGGAGGCUGAACCAGCCAAGUCGCGUGAAGGAAGAAGGAUCUAUGGUUUGUAAACUUCUUUUAUAGGGGAAUAAAGUGGAGGACGCGUCCUUUUUUGUAUGUACCCUAUGAAUAAGCAUCGGCUAACUCCGUGCCAGCAGCCGCGGUAAUACGGAGGAUGCGAGCGUUAUCCGGAUUUAUUGGGUUUAAAGGGUGCGUAGGUGGUGAUUUAAGUCAGCGGUGAAAGUUUGUGGCUCAACCAUAAAAUUGCCGUUGAAACUGGGUUACUUGAGUGUGUUUGAGGUAGGCGGAAUGCGUGGUGUAGCGGUGAAAUGCAUAGAUAUCACGCAGAACUCCGAUUGCGAAGGCAGCUUACUAAACCAUAACUGACACUGAAGCACGAAAGCGUGGGGAUCAAACA